UACGGAGGGGGCAAGCGUUGUUCGGAAUUAUUGGGCGUAAAGCGUAUGUAGGCGGCUAAGUAAGUCAGGCGUGCAAGCCCGUGGCUCAACCACGGAAUUGCGUUUGAAACUGCUUAGCUUGAGUACAGGAGAGGAAAGCAGAAUUCCCAGUGUAGCGGUGAAAUGCAUUGAGAUUGGGAAGAACAUCUGUGGCGAAAGCGACUUACUGGGACAGUUCUGACGCUAAGGGACGAAAGCGUGGGGAGCGAACCGG
rnacentral:rRNA from 1 species